CCUCCCAACUGACUGAGCCACCCAGGCCCCGGCAAAGCUCACAGAAUGUCAGCGAGGAAGCAUGUGGCUCCAGAUGCUGUUUGGCAGGCAUCCAUCCCAUGACCACAAAGGGAGCCCACUUCGGAAUGAAGCUGAUGGUCCGAGGCAAUAAAGUAGGUCUUCGAGAAUACUAAACACUGACCCUACAACCUCUCUGGAUUUUCUAAUGUGUAAACCAAUAAAGCCACUUGUUUAAACCAG